rnacentral:rRNA from 1 species
AUGGACGAGCUUACCAAGGAGCAGAUCCAGGAGUUCCGGGAGGCCUUCAGCCUCUUCGACAAAGAUGGCGACGGGACGAUCACGACCAAGGAGCUGGGGACGGUGAUGCGGUCGCUGGGGCAGCACCCGACGGAGGAGGAGCUCAAGGACAUGGUGGAGGAGGUGGACGCCGACGGGAGCGGCUCCAUCGACUUCAACGAGUUCCUGGGGCUGGUGGCGCGGCAGAUGCGCGGGGACGCCGAAGCCGAGGAGGAGCUCCACGAGGCCUUCCGCGUCUUCGACAAGGACAACAAUGGCUUCAUCUCCCUCGACGAGCUCCGCACCGUCAUGAAGAACCUCGGCGAGAAGCUCUCCGAGGACGAGCUCAACGAGAUGCUCCAAGAGGCCGACGCCGACGGCGACGGGCAGAUUAACUACAAGGAGUUCGCCAAGGUCAUGAUGGCAAAACGGCGAGCAAAUGCGGAGGAACAUGGAGGUGGCGAACACAGCGGGGCGGAGCACUCACACAACCGUGGGGGCGGUUGCCCAUGUACAAUUCUCUAA